rnacentral:rRNA from 1 species
GAUGAACGCUAGCGGCAGGCUUAAUACAUGCAAGUCGAGGGGCAGCAGGGGUAGCAAUACCCGCUGGCGACCGGCAAACGGGUGCGGAACACGUACAGAACCUUCCUUUAAGUGGGGAAUAGCCCGGAGAAAUCCGGAUUAAUACCCCGUAACAUUAUUGAUGUGGCAUCACAUUAUAAUUAUAGAUUUAUCGCUUAGAGAUGGCUGUGCGGCUGAUUAGGUAGUUGGNGAGGGUAACGGCCCACCAAGCCUGCGAUCAGUAACUGGUGUGAGAGCACGACCAGUCACACGGGCACUGAGACACGGGCCCGACU